GUAACUUCCACAGACAAUUAAAUUUCCAGACAAACACAAAUCACAAGUUCAUCUGGUCUGAAUCAAAACUGUCAUUGCACGUUCUAAAGGUUUACAGUUAGUCUGAUGAUAAAGUCUAAUAUCCAGUUUGAUGCAUCCUGUGAGGAGGAGUCAAUGCAAAACUUGUAUAUCUAAUUUCCAGCUCUACAUAUGUGGCUGCAGAGAGUGAGACAGAGCAGUGGACUCACAGUUUACCAAGAUGAGCUUCAGCGUUGGACUGCUGCUUUUAACUCUCUGCUGGGCCGGUGUUGAAGCCCAGACUCUGAUACAAUCUGGAUCAGCAGUUAAAAGACCUGGAGAAUCUCACAGACUCACCUGUACAGCCUCUGGAGUCACAAUCAGUGGUUUUACUAUGCACUGGAUCAGACAGACUCCUGGAAAAGGACUGGAGUGGAUCUCUUAUAUUAGCAGCGGUGGCAGCACUCAAUACUCUCAGUCAGUUCAAGGUCGAUUUACCAGCUCCAGAAACAACAACGUCCUGCAGGUGUAUCUGCAGAUGAACAGCCUGAAGACUGAAGAUUCUGCUGUUUAUUAUUGUGCUCAAGAGACACAGUGACUGAAGUUGUGUUAGCAGCUGUACAAAAACCUGCAGUAGUCGUCUCUUUGAGUGAUACAGCUCAUGUAUGAAGGAUUCUUUCUAUAUUUUUUAUUCUUUAUUAUAUAAAUAUGAUGCAUUUUACACUGAUAUUUAAAAAAACAUUCAUAUUUCACUUUACACAGCUUUUUUAAAAUAUGUAUGUGUUUGCAGACAAGUUCUUUAGAAAAAGGUAAAUGAUAUUUUAUUUGAAUCAUUAAACCUAUUAAUAAACAAUGUACAAGACCAACAACUGGUCCAUAAAGAAGUCUGAAAACAGACUCUGUUUGCUGACAGUAAACACAUUUCUACUGACUGAUGACAAUAUUGUCUAUAAUAUAUCUGCUGUCUACAUUAGAUCAUAACAUGUGAGUGAAAAAAAAGUUGACCUUGAUGUUGUUUGGAUGGAGCUAAAUGUAAAAAGAUUUUUCAUGACUGAAGAAAAUGUAUUGAUGUAUUAAUCAAACCACCGGUGUGUUUUAUUUAAGAAACAAAGACAAAUGUUGUGUUCAUAUUAACAUAUUACCAAAUAAUAAGAAUAAUACAAAAAGAGAAAUAUU